CAGCAAUUCACCAUUUUCUUUCAGCUCUUUCACAAUAUCCAAUCCUCCCACCAGCUCCCCUUUCACAUACAGCUGAGGGUAUGUUGGCCAAUUUGAGUAAGCUUUUAAUCCUUGCCGAUCUCCUUCAUCCUCCAAUAUAUCGAAUGUUUCAUAUUCACCACCAGUACUAUUUAGUAUUUCCAGAAUUUGUUUGCUGAAUCCACAUUUUGCUUCCUGUUUGUUUCCUUUCAUAAAGAGCAUCAUAGAAGCUUCAUUUGUCAGCACUUUGAGCCUUUCCUCUAAUUUGGGAGCUUUGGGACAAAUUAUAUCUAGUUCUUCAGAUGCGUGUAUCUCCUUAAUUAUAUCAAGUCCUCCUAUGAGCUCUCCAGAAACGUAGAGCUGAGGAUAGGUAGGCCAAUUGGAAUAGGCUUUGAGCCCCUGUCGAACCUCUUGAUCUAAAGACAUCAAAACUGCUAAACUAAAUAUUAUGUUUGUGAACAAUUUCCACCAUCUGCUUGCUGAAACCACAGAGUGGUUCUUGAGGAGUUCCUUUCAUAAACAGCAUGCAGGGGGCAGCAUGAGUCAGUUUCUGUAAGCGAAGGUUGAGAUCUUCUUUAAGAUGUUCAUGUUCAUCAGUGCUGGGUGGGAAGGAGCCACUAGAUGUCGCUGAGCUUUUUUGGUCAACUCUGGGAUGUGUGCACCAUCUAAUCGGUCAAUUUUCUGAGAAUUAUUGAAAAACAGAAAAGUGGGAACAGAGCCAAUUUCAUAUUUUUCAGAUACUUCAGGAACACCUUCAGCUUCCAACUUCACAAAUGAAACUUGAGGGUGUUCUUUAGCUAACUCUGCCAUAACUUCGUUCAUCUGUGCACAUUGUGGACCACAAGGAGGGACUUGGCUUUGAGGCGCAGCAGCUCCUCAAACUGGCCGGCUGAGCUGACCUCUUCUACAGCUGCUGCAGCCGCCUUGCUGCCCCUGCCACCGUGCUG
rnacentral:lncRNA from 1 species